CUGCCUCCUGAACUCUGUCUUCUGUAGGACAUGAACUUCUCAUUAACUAAGAAGUCCUGAUAGCACUGCCAAUCCCAUGUGACAGUGGACCUCAUUCAAGGGAGAAUGAGAGAAAGGAGAUGUGUUCUGAAGCACUGUCAAACCGGAGUCUCCCAAGUGACUACCUGCUGAUCAGAUUUCUAAAUGUCUGGUAUAUCUUGUGAAGAAGACUGUCAGCAUAUCAAUACCCCUGUCUGCAACAGAAGCUGAUUCUUCAGGUAAUACUGAACUUUAAACUGGUAUAAGCACAAAGAGUUAAUUAGCACUGUUAUGCAUAAGAGGGUGUCAGUGUAUGAAGUUUAUUGCAGUAGAAAAAUUCAAUGAAUUCUGUGCUAAUUUUUAAGUAAUUAAAUAAUCUUCACACUUAAUAACUUG
ensembl:lncRNA